rnacentral:rRNA from 1 species
GUGAGGAAUAUUGGACAAUGGGCGCAAGCCUGAUCCAGCCAUGCCGCGUGCAGGAAGACGCAUCUAUGGUGUGUAAACUGCUUUUGUACGGGAAGAAACACUCCCUCGUGAGGGAGCUUGACGGUACCGUAAGAAUAAGGAUCGGCUAACUCCGUGCCAGCAGCCGCGGUAAUACGGAGGAUCCAAGCGUUAUCCGGAAUCAUUGGGUUUAAAGGGUCCGUAGGCGGUUUAAUAAGUCAGUGGUGAAAGCCCAUCGCUCAACGAUGGAACGGCCAUCGAUACUGUUAGACUUGAAUUACAAGGAAGUAACUAGAAUAUGUAGUGUAGCGGUGAAAUGCUUAGAUAUUACAUGGAAUACCAAUUGCGAAGGCAGGUUACUACUUGUGGAUUGACGCUGAUGGACGAAAGCGUGGGGAGCGAACAGGAUUAGAUACCCCGGUAGUCC